rnacentral:misc_RNA from 1 species
AUUUUUAUUUAAAUUGAAUAAUAAUAAAUGUAAUGAUACAAAACCAAGCGCGCACACGCGCGCUACAUGUCUUUGUAAUUUUGCUACAAAGUGGAAUCCAAACUGUUGAAGCUCACGGCCCAUUAAAUACGCAAAAGGAGGCAUCAUAGAGCACCAAUCCCAUCAUCUUGGGUUAAAAAACAGCACUAUUUUUAGCUUUGCACAAAAACAAGCUUUUCCUUUUUUGGUCGAAUUGGGACCAUUCCUUUUUUCUCUUUAUUUAAAUAAGAUAUUCUGAGCCGGAGCGGGCGUGUUAUCAUAUCAUGUCAUCGCAUGCAAAUCAAAUUAGCUGACUGACAUCUGGCAUCACCUGCAAGUUGCAAAAACAUAUUAGCUUUUACUCUACCCUCCAUCAUCAGCAUCUCUCUCAACACGCUCACACUUAAAAACACACAGACCAACUAUUAUCCACAACGCGGUUUUACAAAGCCAAUUUAAAACUACUUAUCCCCCAUCGAAUAAAGUUUUUUCUUUUUUAAAUUUAACAAGAAAAAAUAAUAAAACAAGUUUCUAUCACCUACUAGCCAAAGAUUUUCCCAUCAAUUCAAAUUCCCCUCCAACAAACUAGGGCAUUGAAUAACUGUCAUUUGAAUCAUUAACCAACGGCUACUGCACCCACGCCAAUAUAUUUUACUUUUCAACAUUUCUAUAUCCUCCUCCCCUUCCAUCCUACACCUGCUCAAAAGUAAGUAGUCAACUGCCACCAUCAUCACUUUCACUAACGGUGCUUGGAUGACUUUGAAUAAUCUUCUUCUGCGUUGCCAUCGUCAUUAUUGUCCCCACCAUCAUCAUCCUCAUCAUCUCUCUUCCUCUUCUGAGAGGACGAUGGUGGCUGCUCCUGAACUUCUCCAUAAUCAUCUUCUUCAUCAUCAUCAACAUCUUCCUCCAAAUCUGCAUCAUCUUCAUCCCCAAUUACUGCCUCCACAUCACUGCCUUCAGUAUCAUCUACUACAACCUGACCAACUGGUUGAACAAGGUAGCCAUUCCCAUUAUCUUCUUCCUCAUCUUCAGCAUCCUCAUCAUCUUCGAAAUCUCCGUCCUCCUCAACACCUAGCUCUUCCUCCCCUGUCUCCCCAUCAUCAUCCUCAUCUGCAUCAUCUUCCCCAUGCUCAUGCCCAUCAAUCUCUCCUUCUGUGCUAUUCAACCUCCCAGUACUUUCGGGCUCAGCAAAAUCCCCAUCAUCGUUAUCAACUUCCUCUUCAUCCUCAUCGUCGUCAUCGUCGUCCUCGUCGUCCUCCACACCAUCUUCAUCCUCAUCAGUGUCUUCUAUCUCAUGAACCUCCACAACAUCAUCUUCAUCUCCCUCUUCAUCUAUCUCCUCCACAAAG